GACGAACGCUGGCGGCGCGCUUAACACAUGCAAGUCGAACGGAAAGGCCUGCUUUCCCUUGUGGAUUGCGGGUACUCGAGUGGCGAACGGGUGAGUAACACGUGAGUGAUCUGCCCCCAACUUGGGUAUAAGCCUGGGAAACUGGGUCUAAUUCCCGAUAGGACUGCAGGGUGGUGCCUGUGGUGGAAAACGAUUUUCUAGUGGUUGGGGAUGAGCUCGCGGCCCAUCAGCUUGUUGGUGGGGUAAUGGCCUACCAAGGCGGCGACGGGUAGCCGGCCUGAGAGGGUGGACGGCCACAUUGGGACUGAGAUACGGCCCAGACUCCUACGGGAGGCAGCAGUGGGGAAUAUUGCACAAUGGGCGGAAGCCUGAUGCAGCGACGCCGCGUGGGGGAUGACGGCCUUCGGGUUGUAAACUCCUUUCGACCGCGAGGAAGCCACCUGGUUGGAAGGGUGGUGACGGUAGUGGUAGAAGAAGCACCGGCUAACUACGU
rnacentral:rRNA from 1 species